rnacentral:rRNA from 1 species
UACGAAGGGGGCUAGCGUUGCUCGGAAUUACUGGGCGUAAAGGGCGCGUAGGCGGCACUGUUAGUCAGGCGUGAAAGUCCUGGGCUCAACCUGGGAACUGCGCUUGAUACGGCAGAGCUAGAGGAUGGAAGAGGCUCGCGGAAUUCCCAGUGUAGAGGUGAAAUUCGUAGAGAUGUGGAGGAAUACCGAUGGCGAAGGCAGCCUCCUGGGCCAACACUGACGCUCAUGCACGAAAGCGUGGGGAGCAAACAGG